CCUACUUCCUUCCUACUCUUCUUCCCUCCCUCCUACUCUUUUUCUCUCCCUCCUACUCUUCUUCCCUCCCUCCUACUCUUCUUCCCUCCCUCCUACGCUUCUCCUUCCCUCCUUCAGGCUACUAAUACAACCUUCAGCAUCUGUGUCUCUCGUCAAAACCUAGAGGUGUGUAGUUUCUCUACUAAACAGAUGCUCUGACAGGAAUGUUCUUUCUGCUCAGUGUACUUUAAGUGAACCGUGAGUGUGCUGACAGCUAUGGAAUAAAUGGUGGAGGAUUUAUGCUGAGAUUUUGGACCACAGAUUUGUAAUGAACAGUCACUGUACUGUACUGUACCGUAGCUGUUUCAUACAGUAGCACUCAUGUGUGACCAAACGCUGUCAAAGACAAAAUGCCAAGUCAGUACUUUUUCUGUUUACAAAUAUUCCAAAAAACAUUAAGUUGUUCAUACUGAGCAGUUCAGCUACUCUUUUUCUCUCUCUCCUACUUCCUUCCUACUCUUCUUCCCUCCCUCCUACUCUUCUUCUCUCCCUCCUACUUCCUUCCUACUCUUCUUCCCUCCCUCCUACUCUUCUUCUCUCCCUCCUACUUCCUUCCUACUCUUCUUCCCUCCCUCCUAGUCUUUUUCUCUCUCUCCUACUUCCUUCCUACUCUUCUUUAUAUCAUAGUAUGUCAUGUAUUUCAAAACAGAUUUUCCAUCCAGUAAAUUGCUAUUAUUACUGCAUUUAAAAAAACAUAAACAAAUAUGUCAGUCGGAAGUUUUGAAACCAAAUAUAUUUGGUUACGACCCAAACUGCAUUUUAUUCCCUGUUUGGUGCACUACUGUUGACCAAGGCCCUAUUCAGAAGGGCACUAUAUCAGGAAUAGGGUGGAAUUUGUGACACAAACUAUAUUUCUGUCAUAGUAGUACCGGCAGCUCUGGUUAGCCUGAGUAUUAUGGGACAUCUUUAUUGGUCUGUCUAGGUACCAGGGUAGUAUGGUCUGUCUGUAUCGGUCUGUCUAGGUACCAGGGUAGUAUGGUCUGUCUGUAUCGGUCUGUCUAGGUACCAGGGUAGUAUGGUCUGUCUGUAUUGGUCUGUCUAGGUACCAGGGUAGUAUGGUCUGUCUGUAUUGGUCUGUCUACGUACCAGGGUAGUAUGGUCUGUCUGUAUCGGUCUGUCUAGGUACCAGGGUAGUAUGGUCUGUCUGUAUUGGUCUGUCUACGUACCAGGGUAGUAUGGUCUGUCUGUAUUGGUCUGUCUAGGUACCAGGGUAGUAUGGUCUGUCUGUAUUGGUCUGUCUAGGUACCAGGGUAGUAUGGUCUGUCUGUAUUGGUCUGUCUACGUACCAGGGUAGUAUGGUCUGUCUGUAUCGGUCUGUCUAGGUACCAGGGUAGUAUGGUCUGUCUGUAUUGGUCUGUCUACAUACCAGGGUAGUAUGGUCUGUCUGUAUUGGUCUGUCUAGGUACCAGGGUAGUAUGGUCUGUCUGUAUUGGUCUGUCUAGGUACCAGGGUAGUAUGGUCUGUCUGUAUUGGUCUGUCUAGGUACCAGGGUAGUAUGGUCUGUCUGUAUUGGUCUGUCUAGGUACCAGGGUAGUACGGUCUGUCUGUAUUGGUCUGUCUAGAUACCAGGGUAGUAUGGUCUGUCUGUAUUGGUCUGUCUAGGUACCAGGGUAGUAUGGUCUGUCUGUAUUGGUCUGGGUAAGGGUGGAGACCAGAACAAGUUCAGGGCAGAUGCUUGAAGGGAGGUUCCCCUCUCUUGUUCUAUGAAAGCGGAACCCUGGAAUACACACUGAUCAUCAUUAUGUUUCUCUGUUGUUUAUCAGUGAAAAUACACAAAUGCAAUUAGAGUGAUAUUCAGCUCAAAUUCCAGGCUUGAAAACCAAAGGGUUUAUUUGCAAAUAAAGGGAAUUGUAUACAAGUACAAUGAAGCUUGGUCUAGCUGGGUUAUAUUUGAGAUGGGGUAUGUUAUGCUGUGAGGGAAAUAUGUUUUUCAGAGACAUACUGUAUGUAUUGUAUGCAGUGAGUUGGUGAGGAAAGGGGCAGCCAGGCCGGGGUGAUUGUGACUUUGACCCCCAUUCCUUGUCAGAGUUCAAACGACAACCCCAUGCUGUCGAAUGGGUUGGAAACAUAGGGUACAUCCUAAAUGGCAGCCUAGUUCCUAUAUAAUGCACUACUUUAUGGCACCCUAUUCCCUAUAUAGCGCACUACUUUGGACCAGGGCCCAAGUAUAGAGUGCUAUUUGGUAUGGACCUAUACACAGCCCUGAUCUGAAGUAUACAAAACAAAUGAGGUGUUAUAUAGAUGGGUUCCACUGGGGUAAUGUUGUGUAAGGUUACAGGGGGUAAUGAUGUGUAUGGUUACAGUGGGUAAUGUUGUGUAAGGUUACAGGGGGUAAUGCCGUGUAAGGUUACAGGGGGUAAUGUUGUGUAUGGUUACAGGGGGUAAUGUUGUGUAUGGUUACAGGGGAUAAUGUUGUGUAUGGUUACAUGGGGUAAUGGUGUGUAUGGUUACAGGGGGUAAUGCUGUGUAAUGUCACAGGGGGCAAUGCUGUGUAAUGUCACAGGGGGCAAUGUUGUGUAUGAUUACAGGGGGUAAUGCUGUGUAAGGUUACAGCGGGUAAUGUUGUGUAUGAUUACAGGGGGUAAUGCCGUGUAAGGUUACAGGGGGUAAUGUUGUGUAUGGUUACAGGGGGUAAUUCUGUGUAAAGUUACAGGAGGUAAUGUUGUGUAUGGUUACAGCGGGUAAUGUUGUGUAUGGUUACAUGUGGAUAAUGUUGUGAAUGAUUACAGGGGGUAAUGUUGUGUAUGGUUACAGGGGAUAAUGUUGUGUAAGGUUAUCGAGGGUACUGUUGUGUAUGGUUAAAGGGGGUAAUGAUGUGUAUGGUUACAGGGCAUAAUGUUGUGUAUGGUUACAGGGGGUAAUGUUGUGUUUGAUUACAGGGGGUAAUGCCGUGUAAGGUUACAGGGGAUAAUGUUGUGUAAGGUUAUCGAGGGUACUGCUGUGUAUGGUUAAAGGGGGUAAUGAUGUGUAUGGUUACAGGGGGUAAUGUUGUGUAUGGUUACAGGGGGUAAUGCUGUGUAUGGUUAGCGGGGGUCAUGUUGUAUGGUUACAGGGGGUAAUGAUGUGUAUGGUUACAGGGGGUAAUGCUGUGUAUGGUUAGCGGGGGUCAUGUUGUAUGGUUACAGGGGGUAAUGAUCUGUAUGGUUACAGGGGGUAAUGUUGUAUGGUUACAGGGGGUAAUGUUGUAAAGGAAACAUAGUACUACCACGAGAUGGUGGGGAGGCCAUGCUGGUUAUUGCCUGAGUUACUUUGACCCCCGUCCCUUUAAAAGGUCAAACAACGACAUGAGAUUAUUAAUCUCCUAGUCCGGCUCAGUGGGAGUUUCAACUUUAGUGUAUAUCAGUUUCUGUUCUGUCCCUAGUUCUCUUUCUGUUGUAGAAAGAUGUACUGUAUGUACUUGUUGUUGCAGUCUUUUAUGGGAGAUGCCAUCACCCUUUCUUUUUUAGGAUGUUUUUAACGUUGUAAUUAUGAAACGAUAAAGAUAAAACAUGUUAUGUCAAAAUGCAGUGAAAAUUUUAACUAAAUGUAAUCGAAAAUGUAAUCUACGUAAUCCCCAAAAGUAAUUAUUUAUCAUGAGAGGGCCAUAAAUAUUAACUAGUGAUGCUGCAUAUUCGUAGAAAGGUUCAAAUCUCACCUUUUUGGUAAAAAUGGUUAUAAAUUGCUGAGUUGUAGUCACUUUUGAGGACACAAGCUCAAGUACACAGUACAAAUAUGAUACAUAUUUUAUAUUACGUCAUUCCUUUUCAACAAAACUAUAUGAAUAAGUCUUGACAUGACUUAUAUGCUUUGUAAAUAUAUUAUAAUCAAAUUAUGAAACAACUAAGUAUAAGAUUUCACCUUCCUUAUAACUGUAAAAUACAAUUAUUUUAGAUGAACGGUUAUAAAUCAAUCUCUGACGAAACCACUCUCUCCUGCUGUGCUACGAUGUCAGGGUUUCCGACAUAUGUUUUGUCAGUUGUUUGUGACGUAGGGUUCAGCCGGGAGUUGAUGGACAGUCGGAAGAGCGAAUUAAAAUGGUGGGAGGGACAUCCCAGCGUCAAGUGGUUUCAGAUUUCACAUCCACAUCCAGGCUCAGACAAUAUACUACUGUGUCCGUGGGAACAAGGACUGUCGUUCACAGCAAGCCAUUUCCAAUUCAAUUCAAUUCAAUUCAAGGGCUUUAUUGGCAUGGGAAACAUGUGUUAACAUUGCCAAAGCAAGUGAGGUAGAUAAUAUAGAAAGUGAAUAUAUAAAGUGAAAUAAACAAUAAAAAUUAACAGUAAACAUUACACAUACAGAAGUUUCAAAACAAUAAAGACAUUAUAAAUGUCAUUUUAUAUAUAUACAGUGUUUUAACAAUGUACAAAUGGUUAAAGGACACAAGAUAAAAUGAAUAAGCAUAAAUAUGGGUUGUAUUUAUCUUCACUGGUUGCCCUUUUCUUGUGGCAACAGGUCACAAAUCUUGCUGCUGUGAUGGCACACUGUGGAAUUUCACCCAGUAGAUAUGGGAGUUCCAUCUAAGUUGUCUACAGAUCGAUUUAUAAGCAAAAAUGUUGGUUGGAACCGGUCCCAGGACAAUGCAUUUCCCCCAAACAGGGGACUUUACAUCAGUAUAGGCCAUAUAUUUAUGUUACUGUUGUUUUAUUUAAUCCAGAUGAAAAUAAAGUUGUAUCUAAAAUA